ACAGCAGCCGCCGCGGGAAUACGAAGGGGGCUAGCGUUGCUCGGAAUUACUGGGCGUAAAGGGAGCGUAGGCGGAUCGUUAAGUUGGGGGUGAAAGCCCGGGGCUCAACCUCGGAACUGCCUUCAAUACUGGCGAUCUUGAGUAUGAGAGAGGUGUGUGGAACUCCGAGUGUAGAGGUGAAAUUCGUAGAUAUUCGGAAGAACACCAGUGGCGAAGGCGACACACUGGCUCAUUACUGACGCUGAGGCUCGAAAGCGUGGGGAGCAAACAGGAUUAGAUACCCCCGUAGUCCCUGUCUCUUAUAC
rnacentral:rRNA from 1 species